AUUAAUAUGUAUAGCUCGGGGGGGAGAAGGGAGAGGGGGAUAUGAUAAAACAGACUGAAAGCCAUUAAUAUGUAUAGCUUGGGGGGGAGAACGGAGAGGGGGAUAUGAUAAAACAAACUGAAAGCCAUUAAUAUGUAUAGCUCGGGGGGGAGAAGGGAGAGGGGGAUAUGAUAAAACAGACUGAAAGCCAUUAAUAUGUAUAGCUUGGGGGGGAGAAGGGAGAGGGGAUAUGAUAAAACAGACUGAAAGCCAUUAAUAUGUAUAGCUCAGGGGGAGAGGGGAGAGGGGGAUAUGA